rnacentral:rRNA from 1 species
CCUACGGGUGGCAGCAGUGAGGAAUAUUUGUCAAUGGACGCAAGUCUGAACCAGCCACGCCGCGUGCAGGAAGACGGCUCUAUGAGUUGUAAACUGCUGUUGUACGAGGGUAAACGCAGAUACGCGUAUCUGUCUGAAAGGAUCGUACGAAUAAGGAUCGGCUAACUCCGGUCCAGCAGCCGCGUUAAUACGGAGGAUUCAAGCGUUAUCCGGAGUUAUUGGGUUUCAAGGGUGCGUAGGCGGUCUGAUAAGUUAGAGGUGAAAUCCCGAGGCUCAACUUCGGAAUUGCCGCUGAUACUGGUCGGCUAGAGAGUAGUUGCGGUAGGCGGAAUGUAUGGUGUAGCGGUGAAAUGCUUAGAGAUCAUACAGAACACCGAUUGCGAAGGCAGCUUACCAAGCUACUUCUGACGUUGAGGCACGAAAGCGUGGGGAGCAAACAGGAUUAGAUACCCUUGUAGUC